rnacentral:rRNA from 1 species
AACGAACGCUGGCGGCAUGCCUAACACAUGCAAGUCGAACGAAACCUCCGGGUCUUUUGUCGCACGGGUGCGUAACGCGUGGGAACCUGCCCUCAGGUUCGGAAUAACUAUCCGAAAGGGAUGCCAAUACCGGAUCAUGUCUUCGGACCAAAGAUUUAUCGCCUUUGGUUGUGCCCGCGUUGGAUUAGCUAGUUGGUAGGGUAAAAGCCUACCAAGGCGCCGAUCCAUAACUGGUCAGAGAGGAAGAUCAGCCACACUUGGACUGAGACACGGCCCAGAAUCCUCCGGAAGGGAGCAAUGGGGAAUGGUGGACCGUGGGCGGAAUCAUGAUGCAGCAAUGACGCGUGAGUGAUGAAGGCCUGAGGGUUGUAAAGCUCUUUUAACCAUGCUGAUAAUGACAGUACCGGGAGAAUAAGCUCCGGCUAACUCCGUG